UCAUCACAAACUAGAGCUAAACCUCUAUUAAUUCUUAAUGAGAAACUUUUUUACACAAAUGAAAAAUAUAAAUAUCAUAUAUUAUAAGUAAUGCAGUUUGAAGUUUUUUUCAAGCAUUCUCUAUGAGAUAUCUCUGUAAAGUUUAGUCCAAAGAUGAUAAAGGUAUAGGCAAAAGGUCUCAAAAUAAAAGUGUGGUUUAUUAAACAAAGUAAACUCAGGUGAUCCUAUACAAAGAAAUACAAAUAGUGUGCAAAGCACAAACAUUACUGGACAAUGAACUGAAGGACUUACACCGGGUGAAUGAACUCAAUGACAAACGGAUGCCACUAAUUAAUCAAUAAACAUGGUAACAAUGAAGAGUGGGAAAAUGGAACAAAUGAAAACAGGUAACCAAGGAAAUAAAAACUAAAAGUUCAUGAAAAAAACAAAAACAAAAACUGUCAUAGUAACUUGCUGGAGUGCCCGGGCUGGCCACUAGAGGGCACUCCUUCCCUGACUCUCCUUCCCUCCGUCAUGAACUUCACCUCCCAUAAUCCUUUGUCUGGACUUAUCAUCAUUGCAUUCAGCUGUAACUUAUUUCAUUGUUAGCUUCUGUCUAUUUAAACCAUGCCAUGUCUGUCAUUUGUCAUCAAGUUUUUGUAAGUUGUCACUCUGCAUUUUCUGAGCACUCUCCCUGUUUUCUGGUUUCCUGUUUUUGGUGGAUAUUGUAUGUUUUUUGACCUUUUGCCUGGCUUCUGACAUUGAUUCUGGAUUUUCCUAUUAAACUGCAAUUAGAUCUUUAACAAGUCUGAGAGCAUUCCGUGAAAAAAACAGGCAGAUCGUGACAAACACAAGAUUUAUUUAUUUAUUGUGUUUGAUUUGGAUCAGUUGUGAAUUUGAGUGUUACGGCAGGCUUGUAUACACAAUAUAAAAGAGGCAAAAAACAAAUUAUUUAUUCAAACUCUGUUAUUAAACAAUCAAAAUAUAACUGACAUCUAGGGAGAAAAAAAACAAGUGGUUACCUAAUGUGCAUAUGCUCUAGGACUAAAAAUAAGUAAGGAAAAGAAAUAAUAGAAAUAAUUUUGAUACCCAAGUUCCAGAGUUUAGCAGCCCAUAAAUUUAAACAUGGCGGAGGGGAGAACGAUUGUUGCUGUGACUGCUAUUCUUUAUCAGUUUUUUCCACAACAGCUAGCCUACAUCGCCUCGUCUUGUCGUCAAAUUAGUGCAUUUAUAGGCUACAUGAAUAAUCAUUUGAAGUGUAUUGUAUGUUUUAUACAUAGUAAAAAACCUGUGUCUAGAUCUGUAUCUAGAUAGCACAGUGAAUGUUUAUAUGGUUGUCAAUGAAUGGAACACUAAUAUCUUUUUGGCUUUAAUAAGAUUUCAAAAAAAUAUGCAAGAAUAAACAUGGUGUCCUCCAAGCUGUGGGCUAGACAUAUAUGGGAUGCUUGAUGAGACCUACAACACAUCAAAUAAAGCCCAUCUUUCUAACAUUUUGAGGAAAAAAGGUUUUAAGGUCAUACACAAGCACACACUCAUUGUCAUGCAUUAUUGAAUGUGCAUUUCAUAUGAAUCUAUGACUGUUUGGUUCAGUCAUUUAAAAUUAAAGCACUUUGGUAACAAGGGGUUGAUAUCUUAUGCUAAAUCUCUGUUUAUGAUGUUUUAUUAACAAAGUUCGGGAGGAACACGUUCAAAUUGCCUAGCCAAUCAGCAAGAAAUAAGGGCUACAGUAUAUAUAUACUGUAUAUACAUAGCCAACUCACUUACGUUCCUCGGCAGUUUUCUGCAUCCCUCCACCACCCCGUCUCCUCAUACUCAACUUUACUAUCCAAAUCAGAGAUACGAGGGACUACUCUGGGUUCGAGCCAAAUUUACGAGCUCGGAGCCCUCCCCUCGGACAGCACGCCAAAUACGCAUACCAGGGCUCUCAAGUGUCACGCAUUGAAUGUGACAGUCACUCAUUUCAGUCUUUUGUCACGCACUCCCGCCACACAUUGUAUUUCUCAUGCAGAAAAACUAUCAUAUAUUUAAUAUGCCGCAGCGCCCAAAAUGUAUCUGGCCGCGCCGCUCUCUCUAUGGAACCGGGCAGGAAUCAAGCGUGUCACCCUUUGAGAGGCUACACAAUAGCCAAUCAGAAAAUAGCACUAUUGUAUCUGGGUAAGAUUUAACGCAACAACCAAUGAAAAAAAAGCAUAUCCUGGAAUUGUUCACCAUCAUCCUCGUUCACCCACAGAGGAAGCCACUGGAGCUCCGAGCAUCACUUUGAGCACAGAAGAACAUCUGGUGCCUCAUUAAACGAAAAAUACGUCAAAGAUGACCAUGAACUCUUCAGCAGCUGGAAACCUAUAGGCCUAAAAGGCAAGAAUGGGACCAAGUUUCAACACCAAAACUCCAGAAACUCAUAACCUCGAUGCCCAGACGUCUUCAAACUGUUUUGAAUAGAAGAGGAGAUGCUACACCAUGGUAAACAUGCCCCCGUACCAACUAUUUUGAGACCUGUAUCAGGCAUCUAGUUUGAAAUUAGCUCAUUUAGUGGAUACAAUUGUAAAAUUUCUCAGUUUAAACAUUUGUGUUAUCUAUGUUCUAUUGUGGAUAAAAUAUUGGCUCAUGUGAUUUGAAAGCCUUUUCGUUUUCAUUUUCUUCAAAUUUAAAAAACGUCCCAACAUUUCCAGAAUUAGGGUUGUAUUCAACACACCCUAGACUGUUACGGCCCAGAGUGUUCUUUGUAUAUUUGUCCACUAGGUGGAGUUGUUCCGUGGUUUUGCCUCUCUUUCAGAGCAAGCAUCAGGUACAGGUGUGGAGUGUUACCUGUGAUUGGCGAUUGGGUUUAAAAGAACAAGAUUCAGAGAGCAGUGGGUUUUCUGGACUGGGCUGCCAUUCAUCUUCCCUCUCCAGUCCUGGACUGUUUUCUUUUUGUUUCUUUCUUUCUUUAUACUUAUACUUAAUUUUUGUAUUAUUUGAUUUAUUCUUGAUUAAAUGUUAUUUAUUAAACUUAGUCUUCUGUGUGGCCUCCCCUUUUUGGUAAUGUUACUUCACCCAGAGCCAGGUGGUUGUAACAAAGACAAAGGAUCAAACAUUCCCAAAAGUUUCCCAAAAGUAUAGCUUCUUACCGGCUCACUCACUCCUGACGGUGUGAUAUCUUCACGCUUUAAAAGACAAUGGAGAGAAGGAAGAAAUUCUGAUGUGAACAUGAGGAUGCGGAGCUAGAAUUCUUCAAAGGACCCUUUAAUUUUGUGCCAGGCUGCAGUCUUUCCAUCAAAAGCUGUCUUUUCCCUUUUUUAUCUCUCUUGUUGAAAAGCAUCAAUAAAAAGAGUUAAACUAAAGCAAUCACUGUACGGCAGAACAGAUAAAUUAACCCUUAGUCCACCCAAAAAAUGAAAAUUCUGUCAUUAAUCACUCUUGAAAGUGGUAGUUGCGUAGACUGUCAAUGGAGGUACAGAAAGCUCCCAGAUUUCAUUACAAAGAUCUUCAUUUGUGUUCUGAAGAUGAACGAAAGUCUUAUGGGUUUGGAAUGACAUUUUUGGGCAAACUAACCCUUUAAAGUUUAGAGCUUAGUUGACAAAUUCACCAGUCAAUACAUUUUCCCUUUAACAUCUCAAAUUUAUUACAAUUAAAGCUGCAAGUAGCGAUGAAAGGACCUCAGCAAACCUCACACAACAGAAACAGAACAUUAAACACUAACAGAUCUGUCACUUAUUACAAUCCAGUAUGACUUUAUUUCUUUCAUUCAAAGCUUCUUAUUAAGAAUUAACUGAGGUUUAGAUGUUUUUGUUUUAUUGAAAAUAAUAAAGUUUCAAAUCACUGUUAUGGGGGUAAGCAUUUGCUUUAGUUGAGCUCUUGACCCUUGACUUUUUAACUUUAAUUAUUCUCUGGCUGUUGUAACUGUUUCUAAAGCACAUUUGUUAUAGCAAAAGUUGUGAGAAGAAAAACUGAUCAGGUGGUCAUGGUUACUUAUUGAUGAUUCAGUCAUCAUGUAGGAGCCUGAUUCAAUGAUCUCACCCUGAUCUCUGAGGACAUUAUUUAGACUUAAUUUCACAUUAUACUAUCCCUAGAAUACCACUGCAUAAAAUGUUGUCUUGCUUUAAUACUUUGAACGUUUAAGUCAUUUUGCAGAAAUUAUUUGGAAAGGAUCAUGUAGACUCACACAGACACAGAUUCAGCAUAUGAACCUCAACAAUGGUGACAACAUUUUCAGCUCAACUCUGAACAUCACAAAACAAGCUACUUCAGUCACAAAAAAAAAAAAAAAAAAAAGCUUUUUUGUUGAUUGUCACCAUUGUUGAGGUUCAUAAUUGAUGUUUUUGUGAGUCUAAAAGACAAAGCUGAAAACACUAGA